UCCCGGGAAGUCCUUGUG
rnacentral:siRNA from 1 species